rnacentral:lncRNA from 1 species
CGAGUGCUCUCCGUUGCCAUGGAGAUGACCCCAGCCGGCAGCCCACACUGACCACACCCUCUGAGGCCCUGCUGGGCGCCUGAGGCUGCUCUGAUUAACUCACAGGUCGGGACUUGUGUGUCAGCCAGCCCUUAGGAAGCGGCUUCUGUUUUGCACUUCAAAGGCGCAUCAGGCAGCUAUCAAAGAUCUUUUUCAGAAAGAAGAGAAACAGUCAAGGCAUGGAUCUCACAGUCCAGAUUGGAGCCAACAAACCUCUGCUGGUCAAAUGAAGCCACAAAGCAGACAAGGAAACUGAGGCUCAAGGACAUUACCUAACAUCUGCAAGGCCACAAAUUGAGAAAACUGGAAAUCAGGUCUAUCCUGUGCUACAUAAGAAUAAGUAGUUGCAAUACAGGCUGAGAGAGGCUGCUGGGCCAUGGUGACCUAACAUGGUCGGAGCUGGGGGAACAUAUUUGCGAUUGCAUCUCACCAUCCCUCCAACCUCCUGCUGUCGCUUUCCAUUGACAAACACAACAGGAAGCCAAGAACAAGGAAGCAGGAAAGCCAGAGGACAAAGUGCGAGCAACGAUGGAGAAGAUGCAGUAACACUGCAGUAAGGUAUGGAUCAUACGUAACUGCAUUGAAAUUUGAACCCUGGUAAUUGAGAUUAUGCUUUCCUUUCACCUAAUAGUCCUUGAAACUGCAAUUAGUGAAAUCUAAGGCUGAGGAAAAAGCCAAUGAGUUUGAACCCUGGCUUAACUUUUUUUUUUUGCUCUUUCUAAUAGAAAAUAUGUUCAUUUUUUUCCUACUCAAAUUAUUUAUGCAUUUUCCAUAUUCUGUUCACAUGGCCUGCCUUAUCCAAAUGGGGACCUAUUCUGGCUAUUUAUGAUUUUCCAUAUUAAAAGUAAGAAUUCAUGCUUUUUUUUAGAUCAGACAGAAUUUGAAAUAUUUUUCCUCAAGUGUUUCCAGCCCUUACUUCCAAGAAACUAUCCAGUUUAACCUCAUAGGAACUUUCUGCCUUUUUUCAGUGCCAGAAAAGAAAUGUGAGGUUUCACGAAGUGAAAAUUGCUUUUCCUUCCAUCCAGCUCAUGCCUGCCCUGUGCAGGGGCUUCUUAGACAGGUAACUACUUGCAACUUCCUUUGUUUAAGGAAAUGAGGGUCAAUCCAGUGCUUAGGGUACUACUUGCCUUUGUUCAAGGACUCUCCUUUUAAAAGAGUAACAUGGUGAAGCUUGUGAAGCCUAAUUUUCCCAGGAAUGCAACAUUUGUUUAAAGGUAUUACCGUCAGGAUUUUUUGGUCCUCAGGGUAUAGCAAGUUUCCCUUCUGGUUUUUGUAUGAUGAAUACGAAUGAUCCAGAUGGGGAGUGUAAGUGACAUAACAGCACCAGGACGGAUUGUAAAGGGAUCAGCAACCUAUAAGCUGGUGAAAUGCUACUGUGGCUAAGGAUGGGCCAGGCCUCUUCGCUAAGUGGCUGGCUGCUCUACUAGCUUAGCAUUUAUCCCGUUUACCUCUAUGUUUUUCUAACUUUGUUUGUUUGUUUGUUUUCAUUCCUUGGAGCUGUGAAGGACUGCAAGUGAUAGUUACAAAUAUAACCAAGUAGCUGUGAACGUGGAUUUGUGGCCAUGUUGCUCUGGGAAUUGGAACCCAGCAAUGAAUGUGACCACAGCAAUUGACUUCAAGUCUUUCUCACCUCCUCUUCCCCUUGGAUGUGACAGUUUCUCAGACUCCUCAUUUUUGAUAACCUGGACCGUUUUGAGAAGAACCUGUGAGAAAGCUGUACUUCUGUGUAAUUGCACUUACAGCUUCAUUAUAGCACUUGCAAUCUCAUGUUGAAGAUGUGGAGAGAAGAGAACCUUUAUAGGUUUGUAGCAGGACUGCAAUUAGUGCAAUUAAUGCAGCCAUUGAUGCAUCAAUUAGUGCAGCCAUUAAUGAAAGCAUGAAGGUUUCUCAAAAAAACUUAAACAUAGACCUAGCAUAUGAUCCAGUGCUAGCUCUACAGUAUAUCCGAAAGAAAUGGAAUCGGUAUGGCAAGGAGGCAACUGCACACACACAUCCAUUGCAGCACUAAUCAUGAUACGCAAGUUGGAGAAUCAACCUGUGUUCAUCAAGAGACAGGUAAAGAAAAUGGGCCCAUGUGUGCACAGUGGAAUAUGGUCUGGCUUCCACAGAGAAGAAAACCCGGGCAUUUGCAGGAACGUGGAAGGAAUUGGAUGACCUUAUGUUAAGUGAAAUAAGCCAGGCACAGAGAGACAAGUACCACACCAUCUCAUUUCUCUGUGGACUCUGAAAAUGUCAAACUCGAGGAAGCAGAGCGGAGUGACAGUUAACAGUCAUGGAAGUGGACGUGGGAGCAGGACUGGGGAGACGUCUGUCAAAGGGUGCAAAAUUUCUGUUAGAUGGAAGGAGUGAGUUCAAAAAAUCUGCUGUGGAACAUGGUGAGGACAGCUGAUAACAAUGUGUUGUAUCCUAAGAGCAGUGCAGAUUUUAACUAUUCUCACCCAAAUAAUGGAUAAGUAUGUAAAAUAAUGCAUUUGCAAUUAGUUUGAUUUAGCCACUACACAGUGAAUAUAUAUUUCAGAACCUAUGGUAGAUACCAUAAAUAUAAUACAUUCUUUCAAUUUAAAAAUAAUUUAAAAGAAAAUCUUUGUAUAUUAAGAUAAAAAUAUAUUAAAAACUUUGUUGUAUUAUUAAAUAAAAUAUUUUUGUCUUUAUGGGACAAUCCAAUCAUCGAAUCAUAGACUCUAUGUACACAGCAAAAUGCUUUUCAAUGUUUUUGUGCCAUAAGCCACAUAGACCCUGGUUCAACAGGACUCAGAGCAGGAACAGUGGAUUCUACUGAAUCAGCUGCAAUUUCUUGAAGAGUUUCAUAGAAAGAUGAACUGAUCAUAUGAACCAAAGAGAAAAGGGGAUAGAAAAAUAAAUUCAUCAUCUUCAGAAGAGUGAAAUAACCUAGCACAUUCAUAUAUUCUAAAAAUUUAUCUUCUAGUUUUCCACAUAUAGACCUUAAUGUUUUAUUAAGUUUACAGCUAAGUAUUUCAUUUUUUUGUGCUGUAGUAAAUAGCACUUCAAAUUUUAAUUAAAAGUAAUGUUUAGAUUCAAAUUGUUGCCUGGUGAAAUAUGGAAAAGCAAUUUUAUACAUUCACCUUAUAUCCCCUGGCCCUGCUAAAUUUACUUAUUAGUUCUAGAAGUCUUUUUGAGACUUAUUUGUGGUUCUAUAAAUAGACAAUCAGGUCAGUGAGAAUAGAGACAAUUUUAAUUCUUCCUUUAAAAUCUGUACCCUUUUAGUUUCCUUCAUGGGACGGCACCAGUUAGGACUUCUAUGAUGUAAAACAGGGUUGAUAAAAGAAGGUAGCGUCCCUUUCUUGAUCAACUUAGAAGGAAAAUGUCUCAUUCUCAGUGUGAGGGAUUAUGUGUGCUAUAG